rnacentral:rRNA from 1 species
UACGAAGGGUGCAAGCGUUAAUCGGAAUUACUGGGCGUAAAGCGUGCGUAGGCGGUUGGCUAAGUCAGAUGUGAAAGCCCUGGGCUCAACCUGGGGAAUGGCAUUUGAAACUGGCCGGCUAGAGUGUGAUAGAGGAUGGCGGAAUUCCCGGUGUAGCGGUGAAAUGCGUAGAGAUCGGGAGGAACAUCCGUGGCGAAGGCGGCCAUCUGGAUCAACACUGACGCUGAGGCACGAAAGCGUGGG